CCUACGGGGGGCAGCAGUGGGGGAUAUUGCACAAUGGGGGGAACCCUGAUGCAGCGACGCCGCGUGAGUGAAGAAGUAUCUCGGUAUGUAAAGCUCUAUCAGCAGGGAAGAAGCAAGACGGUACCUGACUAAGAAGCCCCGGCUAACUACGUGCCAGCAGCCGCGGUAAUACGUAGGGGGCGAGCGUUAUCCGGAUUUACUGGGUGUAAAGGGAGCGUAGACGGCAUGGCAAGUCUGGAGUGAAAGCCCGGGGCCCAACCCCGGGACUGCUCUGGAAACUGCCAUGCUAGAGUGCUGGAGAGGUAAGUGGAAUUCCUAGUGUAGCGGUGAAAUGCGUAGAUAUUAGGAGGAACACCAGUGGCGAAGGCGGCCUACUGGACGGUGACUGACGCUGAGGCUCGAAAGCGUGGGGAGCAAACAGGAUUAGAUACCCCUGUAGUC
rnacentral:rRNA from 1 species